ACUCAGCACCAGGGCUUCAGUCCGCGGAGCUCUAGGGGCCCGGAGGAUCCCAUAUACAUUUGUGCCUUUUACCAGCUGAAAGGAUAGAGUAAGAUAAAGUGGAGGAUAGAAAUAAUAUCAAAAUAAGUCAGGCUUGCUCGUAUUUCAGUUCCCAAUGUGAGCAAAAAUGUGUCCUUAAUACUUCAAUCACAAACUUACAUAUCUCUCUUUGUUUUCAUCAGGGAAGGGCAGCGUGCGAGAGAACCUCUGGGCAAACACCUCCAGCCCUCGAGCCUGCAUGGUCUUUACCAGCCAGUCCACUGGCAUCCCACUGCAGAGAAAUACAACUGCUGUUGGAGCGAAACCCCCCCCCCCAUGGUCUAUCUAUGGAACCCACUGUAACACAAGACCUAAAGUCCCGUGGAGAGCUAUAUGACAGGGUCACUGAGCAUUUCACCACAACGCAGGAUAGGAGAAUGUCCUUCCUCUACAAGUAGAGAGUACAGCGGGGGACUCAGAACACAGCCGUGGGGUGCUCUGUUGAUAAGAGGGUGGAAGAGACUUACUGCUUACUUGAUCUCCUCUGUGGCAUGUCACGUUCAUCCCAACUGACCAGCUGCUCUCCAUAUUGGCUUUCUUAUGUUCCUUGCAAACAGGCUCGGCCAUGCUUCAAAGGGAAUGAUUUAUGCCGUUAAAUUAAUGACUGAAAAGCCAUAUCUUUCCUGUUUUCAGAUUCAGUCUGUUUAGAGCUGUAAGUAGACUGUGCUGUGUUAUUUCAGCCUGACACAAUCUAGUUUUAACAACACAAAUGAUAACUAUUAUGAUGAUUUUGUUGCUGUAACCAAACAUCUAGGCCCACUUGUUUACAAAGAUGGUUAGUGUAAAACAUAUUAUAACUUAAACACUAUUUUAAGCCUUUAUUUGUCCAGGCAAUUGAAAUGUUGUGUAGAUUUGCUGUAUUGCAGACACACCCUGCUACACAUUUACACAGGGGCAGCCUAGUACAACCACAGAUUUCCUCUGUUGGCUACCGACCAACUCCACUCCAGUGGUUGGGGCUUGAGUGCCUUCCUCCACUGCACAUCAACUGAAUUUAUAGGGAGAAGGUGUGUGCUAUUUGCAGCUCUCCAGCUUCUGGUUGUCACUGGAUCCCUAAAUUUCCUUCCUUUUGCUGGGGUUCAAACCAACGACAUUGCAAUGGCAAGCUUACUUCUAUCAUUUAAGGAUUACCUGGAGAGUACAAUUAUUUGACUCAUUCUGUUCAAUCAGAUUUUUCAGGGGGUUUUCAUGCAUGGUUUGGUUGGCAGACUUUUACUGCUAAAUAUGAUGUAUUAAAGUUUUGCCAAUUAAAGUGAGCAAACAAUGUCUUAAUGUGUUAAAAUAAGCACUGUUUCAAGUUUGUGAGCUAAAUAAAGAAAGGUUACAGUUUACAGACAGGCA